CCUACGCUUUUGGACCAGGGCAUGCGAUAUUUUUCUGACAGCAGAGUUUUGAGCAUAAACUUGUCUUCUGCUAUAUCACCUAGGCCUGGGCACUGAGCACAGAGACUGCUUACCUCAGUGGCCUCAUUCUCCACAAGCAGCGGCCUGGCUUUGUUCCAAGGCCUGGACCAUCGAUAUGCUGAUGUGAGAUUAAAGUGCUGCCAAUUCAGACUCCUGAUCUUUCCCCCUGAAGAUAUCUAAUGAAGACCAAAUGAAAUGCCUCAUCUUAUCUAACUGCUUGCAUACAAUAUAAAGACAUAACUUCGGGAGCCUACCUGCAAGAAAGUUGCUGACAACUAUUUCAAUGGACUUACCUGUUAUCUGGACUCGAGAGAUAUGGACAAUUUACCAACUCAUGUGUGGAAAGUCUCAGAAAGUUUCAGGGGAGGGGAUUGUGUGGAUCCUGGCAGACAACUCCAAAAUGUGCAAUAGUGGCACAUUGAAUAAAUUAAAAUUACUUGAGAAAAAGAAGUUCAGAAAAAUUUCUGAAUUUAAUUAUCUUUCAACCAUAAGAGAAAGAUUUUUUUUCUCCCCAACAACACAAAAGAAAAACAAUCUCAGAAAUUCAGAGAAUCGUAAGCAAUUACUAUGAAUGUUUGUAUGCUGACUAAAUUGAAUAAUGUACAAGAGAGACAGAGUCUUAGAAAUAUAAAACCAUCUGAAACUGAAUCAGGAAGAAAUUAAAAACCUGAACAGACUGAUUACUGGCAAGGAAAUUGGAGCAGUUAUCUAAAGCCUCCCUAAAAACCAAAGUCCAGGACCAGAUAGCUUCACUGGUGAGUUCUCCCAAGCAUUCAAAGAUGACAUACUAAUACCUAUCCAUUUCUCACAUUUCCAAACACAUUUUGAGGUGAACAUUACCAUAAUAUCAAACUCAAGACAACACACACACAAACUACAGACCAAUUUCCCGAAUGAACACAGAUAAACAAAUACUCGACAGAAUCUUAGCAAACAGAAUUCGAUGCAUUAAAAUGAUCAUACACCAUGACCAAGAGUGGGAUUUAUUCCAGGGACACAAGGGUGGGUUCAACAUCCGAAAAUAAUCAACAUAAUUUACCACAACUCUAGCAAAAUAAAAAUCAUAUGACCCUAUCAAUAGAUGCUGAAAAAGACUAGAUGGAAUAUAUCUCAACAUAAUAAAGGCCAUAUACCACACAGCCAGAGCUAACAUGUUCACUGGUAAAAAACUAAAUCCUUUACACUGUUGGUGGGGUAUAGAUGGGCCCAGUCCCUGUGGAAAAGACUAUGGAGGUUUCUCAAAAUACAAAAAACGAGUCUACAACAUGAGUCAGCAACUCCAAUCUUAGCUGUCUACCUUGAGGAUACAAAAACACUUAUUUUGAAGAGAAAUAUAUUUCUCUAAGAUAAAGAGGUCUUAUUUUAUAUACAAAUGUUACAUGCUUAUGGUUUUUAUUCCUUGAUUUGAAAUCUACUUGUGAUGGCUGCUUAAACAUUAUUCGCUUUGUCUUGAACAAUUGAAAGUGAGUCAGACCUUACCAAAAAAAAAGCUUUUAAGUCAUCUGAAUGAGUAAGCUUUCUGGACCAGUGUCAUCAUGGGAGAAAAAU